GAUGAACGCUGGCGGCGUGCCUAAUACAUGCAAGUCGAGCGAACGGACGAGAAGCUUGCUUCUCUGAUGUUAGCGGCGGACGGGUGAGUAAAACGUGGAUAACCUACCUAUACGACUGGGAUAACUUCGGGAAACCGGAGCUAAUACCGGAUAAUAUUUUGAACCGCAUGGUUCAAAAGUGAAAGACGGUCUUGCUGUCACUUAUAGAUGGAUCCGCGCUGCAUUAGCUAGUUGGUAAGGUAACGGCUUACCAAGGCAACGAUGCAUAGCCGACCUGAGAGGGGGAUCGGCCACACUGGAACUGAGACACGGUCCAGACUCCUACGGGAGGCAGCAGUAGGGAAUCUUCCGCAAUGGGCGAAAGCCUGACGGAGCAACGCCGCGUGAGUGAUGAAGGUCUUCGGAUCGUAAAACUCUGUUAUUAGGGAAGAACAUAUGUGUAAGUAACUGUGCACAUCUUGACGGUACCUAAUCAGAAAGCCACGGCUAACUACGUG
rnacentral:rRNA from 1 species